UUGCAGGUCAUUGGGGAGUAGCCGCCUUCCGCUUGCGAGAAGGGCCCGCGUCAACAGACUUGUCCUUGCCCCACGAGGACAUGGCGCGUGCAGUGAACACACCUGGCGAGACCUUUGACCGCACAACUUCGGGAAUAUGGCCGAAGGUGUUGUGCGGUCAAUUGCGUCCUUCGGCCCAA
rnacentral:sRNA from 2 species